AGAGUUUGAUCAUGGCUCAGAUUGAACGCUGGCGGCAGGCCUAACACAUGCAAGUCGAGCGGUAGCACAGAGAGCUUGCUCUCGGGUGACGAGCGGCGGACGGGUGAGUAAUGUCUGGGAAACUGCCUGAUGGAGGGGGAUAACUACUGGAAACGGUAGCUAAUACCGCAUAACGUCGCAAGACCAAAGUGGGGGACCUUCGGGCCUCAUGCCAUCAGAUGUGCCCAGAUGGGAUUAGCUAGUAGGUGGGGUAACGGCUCACCUAGGCGACGAUCCCUAGCUGGUCUGAGAGGAUGACCAGCCACACUGGAACUGAGACACGGUCCAGACUCCUACGGGAGGCAGCAGUGGGGAAUAUUGCACAAUGGGCGCAAGCCUGAUGCAGCCAUGCCGCGUGUGUGAAGAAGGCCUUCGGGUUGUAAAGCACUUUCAGCGGGGAGGAAGGCGAUAAGGUUAAUAACCUUGUCGAUUGACGUUACCCGCAGAAGAAGCACCGGCUAACUCCGUGCCAGCAGCCGCGGUAAUACGGAGGGUGCAAGCGUUAAUCGGAAUUACUGGGCGUAAAGCGCACGCAGGCGGUCUGUCAAGUCGGAUGUGAAAUCCCCGGGCUCAACCUGGGAACUGCAUUCGAAACUGGCAGGCUAGAGUCUUGUAGAGGGGGGUAGAAUUCCAGGUGUAGCGGUGAAAUGCGUAGAGAUCUGGAGGAAUACCGGUGGCGAAGGCGGCCCCCUGGACAAAGACUGACGCUCAGGUGCGAAAGCGUGGGGAGCAAACAGGAUUAGAUACCCUGGUAGUCCACGCCGUAAACGAUGUCGAUUUGGAGGUUGUGCCCUUGAGGCGUGGCUUCCGGAGCUAACGCGUUAAAUCGACCGCCUGGGGAGUACGGCCGCAAGGUUAAAACUCAAAUGAAUUGACGGGGGCCCGCACAAGCGGUGGAGCAUGUGGUUUAAUUCGAUGCAACGCGAAGAACCUUACCUGGUCUUGACAUCCACAGAACUUUCCAGAGAUGGAUUGGUGCCUUCGGGAACUGUGAGACAGGUGCUGCAUGGCUGUCGUCAGCUCGUGUUGUGAAAUGUUGGGUUAAGUCCCGCAACGAGCGCAACCCUUAUCCUUUGUUGCCAGCGGUCCGGCCGGGAACUCAAAGGAGACUGCCAGUGAUAAACUGGAGGAAGGUGGGGAUGACGUCAAGUCAUCAUGGCCCUUACGACCAGGGCUACACACGUGCUACAAUGGCAUAUACAAAGAGAAGCGACCUCGCGAGAGCAAGCGGACCUCAUAAAGUAUGUCGUAGUCCGGAUUGGAGUCUGCAACUCGACUCCAUGAAGUCGGAAUCGCUAGUAAUCGUAGAUCAGAAUGCUACGGUGAAUACGUUCCCGGGCCUUGUACACACCGCCCGUCACACCAUGGGAGUGGGUUGCAAAAGAAGUAGGUAGCUUAACCUUCGGGAGGGCGCUUACCACUUUGUGAUUCAUGACUGGGGUGAAGUCGUAACAAGGUAACCGUAGGGGAACCUGCGGUUG
rnacentral:rRNA from 5 species